ACAUUUCUAUUAAAUGCCCUCAUUCUAAGAUUCUCCAGCCUUUCAGAUCCAAGGUGUAAAAAUUGGAGAAUUUUUCAGCAAGAUUAACAGUAAAAGAAGACAAUUACCAGAGAAACUUUGGAAGCCACCAACUAUGAACUCUAUGUACAUGAAAAAAUCUACACAGUGAACAGCUAUAAGGUACUUAGAAGAAUAGACUGCCUGCUGAGCUUGCUUUGCAACAUAAUCCAGCUGAAACAAAGGAUGGGUUCUGUGGUGGUUUUCCCUUUAUAAGCAGAAGCUGAAGAAUUAAACUUUGAGACUUGAUCAGAA